ACUCCUACGGGAGGCAGCAGUGGGGAAUUUUGGACAAUGGGGGGAACCCUGAUCCAGCAAUGCCGCGUGAGUGAAGAAGGCCUUCGGGUUGUAAAGCUCUUUUGUCAGGGAAGAAACACCGGCUCUAACACAGUCCGGGAAUGACGGUACCUGAAGAAUAAGCACCGGCUAACUACGUGCCAGCAGCCGCGGUAAUAC
rnacentral:rRNA from 1 species